UAUUGAACUUAUUAAUUGAUAUCAUGCAAUUGCCUCCCGCACUUCAUUUCGUGGAGCCUUGCAACUUUAGAGUGGAUUAUGUAUGUGAUCAAGAGUGGCACUGCAUGUAGGCGGCACGUGUGAUGUACGUCAGUCUGUUGAGGCAGCAGCUGGAGGGCGAGUGAGGGAGCUCUCGACAAGCCAGAAUUUCCUGACACCAGAGAACAUCAAAAUACGGCCAGUCAGCACCCUAAGAUAAGAAAAGAAGAAUAAAAAGAGAAGGCAAGAGAAGGAGAA